AUACGUAGGUGGCAAGCGUUGUCCGGAAUUAUUGGGCGUAAAGCGCAUGUAGGCGGUUUGGUAAGUCGGUCGUGAAAAUGCGGUGCUUAACGCCGUAUGGCGAUUGAAACUGCUGAACUUGAGUGCAGGAGAGGAAAGGGGAACUCCCAGUGUAGCGGUGAAAUGCGUAGAUAUUGGGAAGAACACCGGUGGCGAAGGCACCUUUCUGGACUGUGUCUGACGCUCAGAUGCGAAAGCCAGGGUAGCGAACGGGAUGAGAUACCCCGGUAGUCCUGGCCGUAAACGAUGGGUACUAGGUGUGGGAGGUAGCGACUCCUUCCGUGCCGGAGUUAACGCAAUAAGUCCCCCGCCUGGGGAGUACGGCCGCAAGGCUUAAACUCAAAUGAAUUGACGGGG
rnacentral:rRNA from 1 species